AACCCAGUGUGACUCGUCACACUAUCAUUAACUGAAUCCAUAGGUUAAUGAGGCGAACCGGGGGAACUGAAACAUCUAAGUACCCCGAGGAAAAGAAAUCAACCGAGAUUCCCCCAGUAGCGGCGAGCGAACGGGGAGGAGCCCAGAGCCUGAAUCAGCAUGUGUGUUAGUGGAAGCGUCUGGAAAGGCGCGCGAUACAGGGUGACAGCCCCGUACACAAAAGCGCAUGUGCUGUGAGCUCGAUGAGUAGGGCGGGACACGUGGUAUCCUGUCUGAAUAUGGGGGGACCAUCCUCCAAGGCUAAAUACUCCUGACUGACCGAUAGUGAACCAGUACCGUGAGGGAAAGGCGAAAAGAACCCCGGCGAGGGGAGUGAAAAAGAACCUGAAACCGUGUACGUACAAGCAGUGGGAGCCCCACCACCAAAGCAUUUGCUGUACCGCGUUGACGGAGCGAAGCGACGUCAAACCGAUAAAACAGCAGUGUAAAGUGAGCCGCAGGGCGCUUUGCGCGACAGCGCAAAGGCAGGCGGUUUCGCGUAGCGAAAGCGAAUGCUUUGGGGUGGGGUGACUGCGUACCUUUUGUAUAAUGGGUCAGCGACUUAUAUUCUGUAGCAAGGUUAACCGAAUAGGGGAGCCGGAGGGAAACCGAGUCUUAAUUGGGCGUUAAGUUGCAGGGUAUAGACCCGAAACCCGGUGAUCUAGCCAUGGGCAGGUUGAAGGUUGGGUAACACUAACUGGAGGACCGAACCGACUAAUGUUGAAAAAUUAGCGGAUGACCUGUGGCUGGGGGUGAAAGGCCAAUCAAACCGGGAGAUAGCUGGUUCUCCCCGAAAGCUAUUUAGGUAGCGCCUCGUGAAUUCAUCUCCGGGGGUAGAGCACUGUUUCGGCUAGGGGGCCAUCCCGGCUUACCAACCCGAUGCAAACUGCGAAUACCGGAGAAUGUUAUCACGGGAGACACACGGCGGGUGCUAACGUCCGUCGUGAAGAGGGAAACAACCCAGACCGCCAGCUAAGGUCCCAAAGUCAUGGUUAAGUGGGAAACGAUGUGGGAAGGCCCAGACAGCCAGGAUGUUGGCUUAGAAGCAGCCAUCAUUUAAAGAAAGCGUAAUAGCUCACUGGUCGAGUCGGCCUGCGCGGAAGAUGUAACGGGGCUAAACCAUGCACCGAAGCUGCGGCAGCGACACUGUGUGUUGUUGGGUA
rnacentral:rRNA from 3 species